GUUGAAAAUAACGGCUCUCUAGAAUGUGGUUGAAAAUAACGGCUCUCUAGAAUGUGGUUGAAAAUAACGGCUCUCUAGAAUGUGGUUGAAAAUAACGGCUCUCUAGAAUGUGGUUGAAAAUAACGGCUCUCUAGAAUGUGGUUGAAUAUAACGGCUCUCUAGAAUGUGGUUGAAAAUAAUGGCUCUCUAGAAUGUGGUUGAAAAUAACGGCUCUCUAGAAUGUGGUUGAUGAAUUGUAGCAUUUAGGAUGUCAUGGUAUUUGUACUACUCCUGGUUUGCUUUGACAAAACAAUACAUGUUGCACAAUGGUGUCUGUGUUAAAUAGAAGAAUCACAAAGGGAAUUACUUUACAUUCACAGUGCACACUUUGAACUUGCUGUGUGUGUGUGUGUGUGUGUGUGUGUGUGUGUGUGUGUGUGUGUGUGUGUGUGUGUGUGUGUGUGUGUGUGUGUGUGUGUGUGUGUGUGUGUGUGUGUGUGUGUGUGUGUGUGUGUGUUUGAAUGAUACAUUGUCCUAAACUCCUGACUGAACCAAAAAGAUUUCCAUCAUGAUUUCAUCCUCUGUGACUAAUGCUAACAUACCCAAAGAUGUAAAGACCUGACUAGCCAGUAGAUUUCAAACUAAAGGUUAACUUACAAGUGUUCAAACAAACAGAACAUAAUGUAUUACUGUAUGUUAUCAACUGCUGUGUGUUUUCAAAUGUACACAGACAACUAUUCAUUUUUCAAAGUGGCUGCGUUUAAGACAUGGAGUAUUCUCUGGGCUUUGUAUUUUCUACUGGGCUGCUGCAGCCAUUUUUUCAAUUAAUAGUAUGAUUUAGCUAUGAUGAUGAUGAUGAUGAUGAUGAUCUGGUUUUCCAUUCUCAGAUGAACCCUUGGUUAUUGGGUGGAAUGGAGUUGUUUUGAGGAAACAUUACUGCACCAAUGUAGAACGAUGAAUGAUGAGUCUGCUAUGAACCAAAACCAUUUGUUUUCCCUUUCAGGAAUGUCUCUAAAGUGUCUUACCAAAUAA
rnacentral:lncRNA from 1 species